rnacentral:snRNA from 1 species
UUUUCAUUAAUUUAAUAGCUGAUACAUCCUCUAUCCGAGGACAAUAUAUUAAAUGGGUUUCUGGAGCAAAGGAUAUGGAAUAGGAGCUUGCUCUGCCCACUAUGCGCAUGACCUGACAUUGCAGUACUUCCCAGGAACAGUGC